rnacentral:rRNA from 1 species
UCCUGAUGGCGAGUGGCGAACGGGUGAGUAAUAUAUCGGAACGUGCCCUAGAGUGGGGGAUAACUAGUCGAAAGACUAGCUAAUACCGCAUACGAUCUACGGAUGAAAGUGGGGGAUCGCAAGACCUCAUGCUCCUGGAGCGGCCGAUAUCUGAUUAGCUAGUUGGUGGGGUAAAAGCCUACCAAGGCAACGAUCAGUAGCUGGUCUGAGAGGACGACCAGCCACACUGGGACUGAGACACGGCCCAGACUCCUACGGGAGGCAGCAGUGGGGAAUUUUGGACAAUGGGGGCAACCCUGAUCCAGCAAUGCCGCGUGAGUGAAGAAGGCCUUCGGGUUGUAAAGCUCUUUUGUCAGGGAAGAAACGGUAGUAGCGAAUAACUAUUACUAAUGACGGUACCUGAAGAAUAAGCACCGGCUAACUACGUGCCAGCAGCCGCGGUAAUACGUAGGGUGCAAGCGUUAAUCGGAAUUACUGGGCGUAAAGCGUGCGCAGGCGGUUGUGUAAGUCAGAUGUGAAAUCCCCGGGCUCAACCUGGGAAUUGCAUUUGAGACUGCACGGCUAGAGUGUGUCAGAGGGGGGUAGAAUUCCACGUGUAGCAGUGAAAUGCGUAGAUAUGUGGAGGAAUACCGAUGGCGAAGGCAGCCCCCUGGGAUAACACUGACGCUCAUGCACGAAAGCGUGGGGAGC